AUGUGUUUUUGUUUUGUGCAGGUGUUGUUUAAUCUGGUUUUGUGCAGGAGUUGUUUAAUCUGAUUUUGUGACUAAGGGAAAUAAAAGGUUAAAUCCUCACUGCCACCCCAAGGAUGACAUUUUAUUUGAAAUAAGAAGCCCCUGGAGCACAGAGCAGCUGCUGGAAGGGUGUUUUAUCUGGUUUGGUUUUGUGCAGGUGUUUUUUAAUCUGGUUUUGUGCAGGAGUUGUUUAAUCUGCUGGUGGGCAGGAGCUGUUUUAUCUGGUUUUGUGCAGAUUUUGUUUUAUCUGGUUUUGUUUUAUGCAGGUGUUGUUUAAUCUAAUUUUGUGGCUAAGGGAAAUAAAAGAUUAAAUCCUCACUGCCACCACAAGAAUGACUUUUUCUUGAAAUAAUUCACCUGGAUGAAU